GACGAACGCUGGCGGCGUGCUUAACACAUGCAAGUCGAACGAUGAAGGAGAGCUUGCUCUCCGGAUUAGUGGCGAACGGGUGAGUAACACGUGACUAACCUGCCCCUUUCUCUGGGAUAACGCUCCGAAAGGAGUGCUAAUACCGGAUACGAACUCUGAACACAUGUUCGGAGUUGGAAAGUUUUUCGGAAAGGGAUGGAGUCGCGGCCUAUCAGCUUGUUGGUGAGGUAACGGCUCACCAAGGCGACGACGGGUAGCCGGCCUGAGAGGGCGAGCGGCCACACUGGGACUGAGACACGGCCCAGACUCCUACGGGGGGCAGCAGUGGGGAAUAUUGCACAAUGGGCGAAAGCCUGAUGCAGCGACGCCGCGUGAGGGAUGAGGGUCUUCGGAUUGUAAACCUCUUUUAGUAGGGAAGAAGCGAAAGUGACGGUACCUGCAGAAAAAGCACCGGCUAACUACGUGCCAGCCGCCGCGGUAA
rnacentral:rRNA from 1 species